rnacentral:rRNA from 1 species
UACGGGGGGUGCGAGCGUUGUCCGGAAUCACUGGGCGUAAAGGGCGCGUAGGCGGUCCUGAUCGUCGGAUGUGAAAGGCCUGGGCUCAACCUGGGAACUGCAUCCGAUACGGCGGGACUGGAGUGUGGGAGAGGUUGGUGGAAUUCCCAGUGUAGAGGUGAAAUUCGUAGAUAUUGGGAAGAACACCGGUGGCGAAGGCGGUUCUCUGGGCAUUACCUGACGCUGAGGAGCGAAAGUGUGGGGAGCGAACAGG